rnacentral:sRNA from 1 species
AGCUUGGUGACUGAGGCCGUUUGUUCGGCGC